rnacentral:lncRNA from 1 species
UAGUCGUUGAUCCAAUCUUUUGGUGGAAUUGAGUUCUAUUGCAGAACUCUAGCUCCCAAGUGAACAUGAAACAAAGAAAACGAUAAAAAUUAGGAAUCUAUCAAUAAAAAAUAUGCAGGAGAUAAUGCAAACUAGGAGAAAGUAAUUUGAACAAGGGCAUAUUUAAAAGUGAGAUACACAUCCAAGACUCAAAUAGGUAUAUAACAUUCUGAGCAGUUUAUACAUUUGAAUAGGGGAGAUUAGUCAUAUAACUAAACACCAAAUAGAUUAAGUAAACACAUAACCAUGCCGAUUUUCUAAAAUCGCUAGGCAUAUUCACAACUGGACAUACACUAAGUGAGGCUUCAACCCAAAGGAUUCACAAGGGGAAUAUUUUAAGAUCAAAAUAACAUAUAGAUGGACGACAAACAAGAAGAGAAAUGGAGAUUAUCUUAAGAUGGACUGUGAAUCUUUUAUGAAAGUUUAGUCAUUUCCAACAUAAAAUUGUGAAUAUCAGAAACAAGCUUAACUUCCUAAUCCAAAAAGUGAUAGUGGCCAUAAGCGUUUUGAUGCAACAAAUGGACCAUUCAUCUAUAUGAAGGCAAAGAAAAAACUAUAUUAUUGAACAAACCACAACACCAAUAUGAACUUAAAGCCAAAGCACAUCAAAAUGGACAAAAGAGGUACACAAAUGUGAAACAAAAGAACUAACUAUUUGUGAAAGGGGAAUAAUAGAAUCAAGAAUAUAUGGAGAUCACUCUUAUGUACUUAAAACUACACAUGAAUCUGGUUGGCAGGUAAAACAAAUAGCAGUAACAAGAUGCGAUAAACACAAACAUAUUCACAAAUACUUGGCCGAAUGGGAAGACAAAGGAAUAUACAACAACUUUUACACUAUUUCGCUCCCAAUAGUUGCGAAUCUACCUUAGGAGAAAACAAACUUCAAAGUCAAUACACGCGCAAUAAAUGGCGGAACCAUGACCAAACUUGAAACCGAAGGCAAAGCACAUAUUUAUACACUUACAGACUUGCACAUUCAUAGGAAAAGUUAUUUUAUUUUCAGAAUUAAAAUAUACUCUUAUCCACAAAGUUAAAGAAAAAUAUUGUUCCCCAAAACAAAAAUAGAUGAAAGAUCAGACACACGAAGGAGAAACAGAGAACGGGUUUGCACCUUUUGUUGGGCAGCAAACCAAAGCUCCCAAGUCAAGACUCUUUCCGGCCACCAAACUCGAGUUUCAAUACUCAAACUUACACCGAAAAUAAGAUAAGAAACCAGAAAUUUUCAUGACUUUUCUUGUGAAUUUUUUUUGUGACUGUAAUCUGAAUUUUCUAAUCUCCAACCUUUUUUGUGUUCCACCUCUUCUCCCCUUUUCUCCGAUGUUUAACCCCGUCCUCAAAGGGGUCGGAAUUCAGCUAUUUAUAGCCAAAUCCGAACUUUAAAGUCCGGAUUUGAGACAAUGAAUAAGUAAAAAUGAGGGAAAAACAGACAAUUUGAAUUUUUGAAUUCAAAUUUCUAAAGAAAAUCCAUCGAUUUCAAC